rnacentral:rRNA from 1 species
GACGAACGCUGGCGGCGUGCUUAACACAUGCAAGUCGAACGAUGAUGCCCAGCUUGCUGGGUGGAUUAGUGGCGAACGGGUGAGUAACACGUGAGUAACCUGCCCCUGACUCUGGGAUAAGCGUUGGAAACGACGUCUAAUACUGGAUAUGACUGCCGGCCGCAUGGUCUGGUGGUGGAAAGAUUUUUUGGUUGGGGAUGGACUCGCGGCCUAUCAGCUUGUUGGUGAGGUAAUGGCUCACAAAGGCGACGACGGGUAGCCGGCCGGAGAGGGUGACCGGCCACACUGGGACUGAGACACGGCCCAGACUCCUACGGGAGGCAGCAGUGGGGAAUAUUGCACAAUGGGCGAAAGCCUGAUGCAGCAACGCCGCGUGAGGGAUGACGGCCUUCGGGUUGUAAACCUCUUUUAGUAGGGAAGAAGCGUAAGUGACGGUACCUGCAGAAAAAGCACCGGCUAACUACGUGCCAGCAGCCGCGGUAACAC